UGGGAAAUGACUGGGGAUCAUGUUGUACUCAUGGAGGGCAGUGGAGAAGGUUUCUCUUCGUCAUGGUGGGUAUCUGGAGAGAGGGAGGCUGCAUCAUUUUCUCUGCACCUAAUAACAGUUGUGUGUCCCUCUAUCCAUAUCCUGCACUUGUAUUCCCUCUCUCUCGGCACUCACCCAAUUUCCAGAUGUGCCAGGCAAUGGUGGGAAUCCCCACUGGUGCGGCUUGAUAAGACCCCAUGAAAGCCAAGGUGAUGGUGGGGUCAAGCUAUCUGUUACCAAAGAAUUGGUCCAUGAAUGAGGGCAAACCUUGCUGGUGAGCUGGGCACUGAGUUGUCUGUGGGAAAAGAGAACCCAGGGCAUGAGGGUUCAAAGCAGCACAAUUGCUUCUCACCUGGGAAACUGGUUCUCAAGAUGAUAAACAACUGAUGGAAAUGCGCUCAGCCACGGCAGAGCAGGGGGCAGGUUUACAGGGGCGGCACUGACUGGUGCUUGUGUGACUUUGGAGCGUGCAUCCCUGGCAGCUCAGCAAAUCCUCCCUGGCUGUGACAGCUGAUCCCUAAAGACAUGGAGUGGGUAGGAGGUUUGCAUUGGGGUUUGCAUUGACCGCAGUCUCACAACCUGCAUCUCUUCCCCACCAGACCUUGUUCUCUGCUCUGAGGCUGCUCCUGUCCAGGUGCAUGGUGAUGCAGUUCUCUGGAGAUGGAGAAUGGCCCCUUCACCUCCUUGCUGUAGCAAGUUGUGUGGCCAUGACCAGGGUUGUGUAACCCUGCCCUGACUGCAGCCCCCUCCCAAGAGCGUGACGGAACCAGGUCACUGAAUUGCUGCUGAAGUUGGAUCCCAAGACUGCAGAAAGGUGCAGAGAUCGUCUGGGCUUCUGAAUUCCCCCUCUAGACUCCACUAGGUGAAUCUGAAACUGGGACCUAGGAAGAAGUAAGGGUGGAAGGAAUCCCGGGGUGUGAGGAUUAAAUGCUGUGAAAUUACUCCAUGUCUGGGCAACUGGCUCUCAUUUGAACUGGGCAAAUAAGGAAAAUGAGGCACUUUUCCAGGAGGCUGCUGGAUCCAGUGCCACUCGUAACCACUGCUGAUGGAGUAACCUGUGACAGUGCACAUCAGGGUGAGGGUCUCUGCAGGCUUCACCACCCCUGGGCCAGACUCAACCAGCUGCACAGCAGAGAGAGGAAACCUAAAGAAAAGAGACAGUAAGUGAAGAAGAAGGUCCAGGGAGAAAGCCCCAGCGCUCUGGCUUCCCGCCAACCUUCCCCACAACCUACAUGGGAGAGAAGAGAGAAGAAAGAAGAGUAGGAACAAGGAGCUCAAUGCUGCUGCCCUAUAACAAGGGGGACUCCCAGCAGGCAGGAGGGGGAUGGGCAGGGACUGAGGCUCCACAGCUAAGAGGCUGUAUUUAACCUGGAGCCCCUGGCCAGGGAUUUGCAUGCAGGUCCCAGGAGGGUGUGAGCAGCCCUGGGCUGGGAGUGCUCAGCACAGGGCCCUCCUCUCUCUGCACAGGGCUCUGAGUCUCUGGCACAGAGGGAGAUGCUGGGGUUAGUAUGAACAGAGGGGAAGGGCUGGUCCUUGGUGUGAAAAAUCUCCAUUCCAGCCUCAUCCAUGUCUCUCUUACCACUUUUUUUUCUUGCCAGUGUCUUCUUACCUGUCUAUCACUCUGGUUGCUAAGUAACCAGCUCUGCCUACCUGACCUGGACCAGGUGAGGCGGUGGGGAGGGUGGCCCUACCUCUCUUUUGUUUUAAGCACUGAACUCAUGGCAGAGGGGUAGUGGCCCCAGAGAUGUCUAUCUCUGAGUUGACCGGUGAUGCUUUUUAAAUUAGUUGGCUGGUGUCCAACUACACCCGGCUGGGAUUGGAUCAGGUAGAUCAUGUCAACAGGUCUAUAUAAGCCAAGACUACACAGGAGGAGGGGCAGCAGCCAUGAUGAAGACGCACACAGCAGCUGAACCAUUUGCAGCCCCCACCCCCUUGAUGCUGAAGUGAGUAAACUGCUGUAACCUAUCUAGAUAGAUAUCUUGCUGUAUGGUAGAUGCAUGAUCCAAGGUUACCUAGCUACUGUUUGCUCCAGGGUUAUUCUGUAAUACUUCUCUAUCCUGUACCAUUCCCCAAGCCUU